rnacentral:rRNA from 1 species
UACGGAGGGUGCAAGCGUUGCUCGGAAUUAUUGGGCGUAAAGGGUAGGUAGGUGGUCUUAUUUGUCUGAGGUGAAAGCCUUGAGCUUAACUCAAGAAGUGCCUCAGAAACGGUAAGACUGGAGUCCUGGAGAGGGUCGUGGAAUUCCCGGUGUAGCGGUGAAAUGCGUAGAGAUCGGGAGGAACACCAGAGGCGAAGGCGGCGACCUGGACAGGCACUGACACUCAACUACGAAAGCGUGGGGAGCAAACAGG